rnacentral:rRNA from 1 species
AGGCGAAAAGAACCCCGGCGAGGGGAGUGAAAAAGAACCUGAAACCGUGUACGUACAAGCAGUGGGAGCACAGAGCAAUCUGUGUGACUGCGUACCUUUUGUAUAAUGGGUCAGCGACUUAUAUUCUGUAGCAAGGUUAACCGAAUAGGGGAGCCGAAGGGAAACCGAGUCUUAACUGGGCGUUAAGUUGCAGGGUAUAGACCCGAAACCCGGUGAUCUAGCCAUGGGCAGGUUGAAGGUUGGGUAACACUAACUGGAGGACCGAACCGACUAAUGUUGAAAAAUUAGCGGAUGACUUGUGGCUGGGGGUGAAAGGCCAAUCAAACCGGGAGAUAGCUGGUUCUCCCCGAAAGCUAUUUAGGUAGCGCCUCGUGAAUUCAUCUCCGGGGGUAGAGCACUGUUUCGGCAAGGGGGUCAUCCCGACUUACCAACCCGAUGCAAACUGCGAAUACCGGAGAAUGUUAUCACGGGAGACACACGGCGGGUGCUAACGUCCGUCGUGAAGAGGGAAACAACCCAGACCGCCAGCUAAGGUCCCAAAGUCAUGGUUAAGUGGGAAACGAUGUGGGAAGGCCCAGACAGCCAGGAUGUUGGCUUAGAAGCAGCCAUCAUUUAAAGAAAGCGUAAUAGCUCACUGGUCGAGUCGGCCUGCGCGGAAGAUGUAACGGGGCUAAACCAUGCACCGAAGCUGCGGCAGCGACACUGUGUGUUGUUGGGUAGGGGAGCGU